AAGAGUCCCUUGUUCUGAGGAAGGUGCUGGAUUUUUGUGUCUUCAUUUGCUUUCCUCCUGCCAGCAAUGCUCAGUGUCAAGGCACUAGGAGAGAGGUGUAUGUACAACUACAAGUUAACCCAGUGAUCCACUACAGCCAUGGGGCAGAGAACAGGACAUCUGUGCUAAGAGUUGUGACAGGACGAGGCUCUGCAGAAGAAAGUGUGGCUGUGCAGUCUCAGAUCUCCUCUGAGGACCCCAAGGUCUAAGGACUUCACCUAGGGAAGCUUCCAGAGGGUGUGGCUACAUGCCUAAAACGUCCUCCCACGGAAGAAUGAACAAAGGUAGCCUGCUCAGUUCUGAUGGCGCACUCUGGCUUGGCCCUGAUUGUCAAGCCUCUUCUUCUGGGUGAUGGAGAAGUUGGAAACCAAAGGAGAAGAUAUCCAAACAGUUUUAAUUUCUGUCCCCUAUUCCUGAAGGAAUUUAAUCUCAAAACGUAGAAGCUGCUGCCUUCCAUCUCCAUCUUCUUUUAUAAGAAAAUAUAGUGGCUUUUAUGUGGACAUCUAAAUUCCAGGAACUUUUAGAAUGGCCAAAAUGGGGGCUCAGUCAAUGUGUGGGAUUAAUAGAUGCAGUAGAUGUCAUCUGUCAGCUUCUGGAUUUAGCACAUCCCAGCUGAAUUCUCAUGGUCAGUAUCUCACCAACACUGUUCUGUUAGUUCGACUCAUUCAUCUGAUACCCUUCAUACAAAUGAUGAUACCUUCCUAUUUGGUAUUCUAGCAAUGUUCUUUCAAAGUGAUAAACACUUAGAUUAAUUUGAUAACUUUCCUGUGUUUGUGCUUUUAGGCAGCACUGAUUAAAACUUCAGUGUUCUGUUUUUCUAUUGGUUUUCUGUAUGGACACCAGAAUGAAAAAUGAAUAAAUAUUCUCUGUGGGUA